rnacentral:rRNA from 4 species
ACGAGGAAUUCCUAGUAAGCACGUGUCAUCAGCACGUGCUGAUUACGUCCCUGCAAAAUGUACACACCGCCCGUCGCUAUUACCGAUUGAGUGUAAAGGUGAACCUUCUCGAUAGACGCAAGUUUAGAAAUUAAGUAAACCUUUGCACUUAGAGGAAAUAAAAGUCGUAACAAGGUUUCCGUAGGUGAACCUGCGGAAGGAUC